rnacentral:rRNA from 1 species
GAUGAACGCUGGCGGCGUGCUUAACACAUGCAAGUCGAACGAGAAAUGGAGACGGAAACCUUCGGGCGGAAGGCUUCAUUUCGAGUGGCGGUCGGGUGAGUAACGCGUGGGUAACCUGCCUCAUACAGGGGGAUAACAGUUGGAAACGACUGUUAAUACCGCAUAAGACCACAGCACCGCAUGGUGCGGGGGUAAAAACUCCGGUGGUAUGAGAUGGACCCGCGUUCGAUUAGCCAGUUGGCGGGGUAACGGCCCACCAAAGCGACGAUCGAUAGCCGAUCUGAGAGGAUGACCGGCCACAUUGGGACUGAGACACGGCCCAAACUACUACGGGAGGCAGCAGUGGGGAAUAUUGCACAAUGGGGGAAACCCUGAUGCAGCGACGACGCGUGAGUGAAGAAGUACUGCGGUAUGUAAAGCUCUAUCAGCAGGGAAGAAAAUGACGGUACCUGAGUAAGAAGCCCCGGCUAACUACGUG